rnacentral:rRNA from 1 species
UACGUAGGGGGCAAGCGUUGUCCGGAUUUAUUGGGCGUAAAGAGCGUGUAGGCGGCCAGGUAGGUCCGCUGUGAAAACUCGAGGCUUAACCUCGAGAUGUCGGUGGAAACCAUCUGGCUAGAGUCCGGAAGAGGAGAGUGGAAUUCCUGGUGUAGCGGUGAAAUGCGCAGAUAUCAGGAGGAACACCAAUUGCGAAGGCAGCUCGCUGGGACGUUACUGACGCUGAGACGCGAAAGCGUGGGGAGCAAACAGG